GCGUCGGUAGUGCAAGGGAUAGGACACGCGCUGCUGGAUUGGGUGAAAUGCGGGUUUAAGUCCCGCCUGACGCA